GUUCGUUCACACACUAAACAUCUCGUGACAAUACUCAAAAUUAAAAAAAAAAAACUGAAAUGUGCAAAGUGAAACUGUAAAAGUUAAAACUCUAAAAAGAAUUCACAAAACCCACAGCUCGUACGAUUGGUCGCAGUUCCUGAUGCAAACUAAAUGCAGCUUCAGUACAACAUUCCCAACAUUCUAAACGAGGAGAACGUCAAGCAGCAACAACCCAGAGGAGCAGCUCUGCAGCGUCCAAUCAAUCAUUCGUGGAACUUCUGGGCAGGACCUACGUGUGUGACCCUUUGCUAUGAGAUGGAGUUCGGCCGAUGGCAGUUGGAGAGAAUCCGUUGCCAGGUUUUGGAGAGUUUAGCUUAGGAUAAUGGGUUUGUCAGUGUCGAUUUAAAUGGCUUUUGCAAAUCGCAUUUUUCAAUAACAAAUCACUCCCCACCUACAGGGGCUCCACCCGAGAAGAUUUCACUUUUGUCGGCUAAAGCGGCACUUAAACAUGUGCACAUCGAUGAGCCCGCUCGCUGGCCAGAUUAAGAGUGAGUCCUGAACCAUUGGUACUAUGUGCAAUCUUCAUGCAAGCUAAUCUGAAACCCUUUCCGUAGAUCCAACUCUGUAGUUCCCUUCCCGAGUUCCUGACAAUCCCACCGCCCAAAUUAUAUUCUAACCUAAAUUCUUCAAAAUCCUGGCGGCGUAUCUUUUUCAAGUGCCACGACCGAACUCCAUACCAUGGUAGGGGCUCAUCCACGUCGGACCAGGGUUCCUUCACCUCCUAACGCUGGCGAUUGGCUGCGCUUGUGGUUGUUGCUGCAAAUUCCAUUUGUGAUCCUUCAACUGGCUGCAAUUGCAGGCUACGACUGCAGGCUCUUGUUGCUUCAGAUUUAUUUUUAUGACGAAAGCAAACACAAAU
rnacentral:lncRNA from 1 species